rnacentral:ribozyme from 1 species
UGCCCAGCAACUCCAAUCCCUACAUCCUCGUGGUACUGGCCGGGGUACGAGUAACCUCAGGGAAGAUCGGGUAACCAACCCCGGUGAAAACUUUGGUCAUAUGUUGACUGAGAAAUGG